rnacentral:lncRNA from 1 species
GAACACACUUUUCUUUUUUUUUCUUUUUUCUUUUUUUUUUCCUUUUUUUUUUUUUUUUUUUUUACCCCAGACACCUCCUUUUUGUAGAAAGCCAAAUAAAAUAUAUACAUACCACUUCCUUUAGAGCCCAGAAUCUAGAUUUGAACGGAAGAGCGCGUGUGCUUCAGGGAAGUAGUGUCUCCUUUUGGAAAUCUAUGGAAGUAAAGUGACAUCGGCCUUCUGUUCAGUUAGGCAACAUUUGUAAAAAAAAAACAAAUAUCGUCUGGAGUUAUAAUACAACUCUCCUGGAUCGGAAACCAAGUGGGGGGAAAAUACAGAAACUUUCAGGGGAUGGGAGGGGGGAGAAGGGAAAAGCCAGCCCUUUGUAUAGAAAUUUUGCUUUUGUUUUUUCAUUCUGCUUUAGAACGCAAGCUUGUGCACUGUGGAUGCGUGAAUAUUUUAGUGUGAAACGUGUUUUUGUCAUAGUAUUGAAAUAAAACUUCAACAUAGUUUGGUUGUGGAAGGUAUAGCAGAUAGUUCAGAAAAGAAAAAAAAAAACACAAACAACUAUUCAGGAAACAAAACAAAACAAACAAAUCCCAAAAGGAAAAAAAAGGAAUCAAGGCCUUUUAAUAGGCAAUAAAACAGAGUGACACUGAUGAAGAGGACGCUAAGCCAACAGACGUCCCCCGACAGCACGUGUUCCUUUCCCAAGUACAAAGUGACAAGAGGUUAGGGUGGCCAGACGCACCCGUGUUCACUCUGUGGGCCACAUCCCCCAGGGUUCUGACACUUCUGCAGUGUGACCAGUGGUGAUGCUAGGUUAUAAUUUCAAACUGUGAAAAAUAAUGGUCUCGUCCUUUACUCAGUGUGGGGUUAUUUUGCAUUUUCUCAGCUCCCGGGGAUGGGAAUGGAGGAUCCCAGAACACUCAGCCCAGCCCAGCCCCUUUCAUUCCAGGGCCUGCACAGAUCCACAGUUCACGUACACGGGUCCUCAGGAAGAGCUAUCGGGUAGACAACUCUGAGGGCACUUAGCAGAAUGGGAGAGCUGGGUAGCACCCGAGCCAGGUCCUUGCGGUGAGGGGCAGACUCCUUGGGCCACAGCCUGUUCCGGGGAAUCGCUUUCCCAUAUGGUGAAGUCGGCGGCUGGACCGGCUCUGCCGAGGGCACACUGUACCUCCUGGAAAUGGUGUACUCCACUGUUUGUGGUUGGAUACAUUGAGCUCAACUCUGAUGAUAAGAAGAGACAGAGGUAUGGCCAACUCCAAAAUAAUGUGGCCCAGAGUAGCUGACGCUCAGAACACUGGCCACACAUUUGCUGGAAGCCAAGACCGCCCACACUUUGAUAUGCCUCUCUCUUUAUACAUAUGUUUGUCUCGCCAUGCAUGGGUUUUCCUUUCUUCCUUUUUCUGUUUCUUUUUAUUUUUAAACAGCAGUAGUCUCUCUGAUAUCAAAGAGGGAGACAGUGUAUCCCCCCCUAUUCUUUUAUGUGAAGAAAUAAGUAUUUAGUUUUCUGUAGGGUUUUUUGGUUUUGGGGGGGGGGUUGUUUGUUUGUUUGUUGUUUUAGUUUUUGGAAGGAGGGAUGGACUCCACCAGUGUCAGUGUCGGUGUGUCUUAUGUCUAUGUGGCAUACAUUGUAUCACAUAAAGACCAGCAUGGCCAAGUUCCGUGGGAAGGUUACCCAGGUGCCACCAGUGGGGUCUCCCAGUCCUGAAGGGCCAAGGUGUAUCCAACAGGAUUCUAUGUCCUCAUUUUCUAUGGAACCUCCCAUGUCCCAGGGUCUCACCCUCAGCUGUCCGUCUGGAUGGUGGUGAUCACACCUCCAUUAACAUCCUUACCCAGCAUUCUGUACUUCGGGGGCCUUCUCUCUUGUUAUAAAAACUUUUUACUGAGUGAAACAUCAACACCACCUUUGUUUCCAUUCUCACUGCUGUAAAUACUGAGUACUAACUGAGAAUUUUGACUUUGCAUUCUGUCAGAAUACUUGUGUUCAAUAAAAGUUGAAAGAAAAAAAAAAGC